GAUCCUGGCUCAGGAUGAACGCUAGCGGCAGGCUUAACACAUGCAAGUCGAGGGGCAGCGCGGGGCGGCAACGUCCUGGCGGCGACCGGCGGAAGGGUGCGUAACGCGUGAGCGACAUGCCCGUUGCCCGGGGACAACCGGUGGAAACGCCGACUAAUCCCCGAUGGGACGGAGGCCCUCAUGGGUCUCUGUUGAAAGUUACGGCGGCGACGGAUUGGCUCGCGUCCGAUUAGCUUGUUGCGGGUAACGCCCACAGG
rnacentral:rRNA from 1 species